UCAGAACGAACGCUGGCGGCGUGCUUAACACAUGCAAGUCGGAUGCGAACGGGCUUUUCGGAGCGCAAGUAGCAUGGCAGACGGGUGAGGAGCACGUACCUGACCUGGCUCUUAAUGGGGGAUAGUCCUUCGAAAGAGGGUUGAAUACCGCAUACGCUCAGGAGGGCGACCUUGUGAGGAAAGCUGGCCUCUGCGAGAGCAAGCUGGUGUUAAGAGGGGGGGGGUGCGGCCUAUUAGCUAGUUGGUAGGGUAAGGGCCUACCAAGGCGACGAUGGGUAGCUGGUCUGAGAGGAUGAUCAGCCACACUGGGACUGAGAGACGGCCCAGACUCCUACGGGAGGCAGCAGUGGGGAAUUUUGCGCAAUGGGGGCAACCCUGACGCAGCAACGCCGUGUGAGUGAGGACGCCUUUCGGGGUGUAAAGCUCUGUCAGCAGGGACGAACGUGUCGCGUAGAAGAUACGGGGGCAUUGACGGUACCUGGUGAGGAAGCCCCGGCUAACUCCGUGCCAGCAGCCGCGGUAAGACGGAGGGGGCAAGCGUUGUUCGGAAUUACUGGGCGUAAAGCGCGCGUAGGCGGCGAGACAAGUGCCGAGUGAAAGCCCUCGGCUUAACCGAGGAAGGGCUUGGCAGACUGUUUGGCUAGAGUUUCGGAGGGGGAGGCGGAAUUCCUGGUGGAGCGGUGAAAUGCGUAGAGAUCAGGAAGAACGUCAGUGGCGAAGGCGGCCUCCUGGACGAGAACUGACGCUGAGGUGCGAGAGCGUGGGGAGCGAACGGGAUUAGAUACCCCGGUAGUCCACGCCGUAAACGCUGGGCACUAGGUGUGGGGCCGAGGACCGGGUCCGUGCCGGAGCUAACGCAGUAAGUGCCCCGCCUGGGGAGGAACGUUCGCAAGCCAUAGAACUCAAAAGAAAUUGAACGGGGCCCGGCCCCAAACCGGGGGGGCAAGGGGGCUAAAAUCAAACCCCCAAACCGAAGGACCCUACCCGGGGCGGGAAAAAAAAUAGGGCGAUCGGCUGGAAGGUCGAGUUCCUUCGGGACGCUAUCACAGGUGCUGCAUGGCUGUCGUCAGCUCGUGUCGUGAGAUGUUGGGUUAAGUCCCGCGACGAGCGCAACCCUUGCCCGUAGUUACCAGCACGCGAGGGUGGGGACUCUACGGGGACUGCCGGUGUGAAGCUGGAGGAAGGUGGGGAUGACGUCAAGUCCUCAUGGCCCUGACGCCCAGGGCUACACACGUGCUACAAUGGGCAGGACAACGGGGAGCGACCUUGCGAAGGGGAGCCAAUCCUGAAACCUGGUCGUAGUUCGGAUUGGAGUCUGCAACUCGACUCCAUGAAGGUGGAAUCGCUAGUAAUCGCGGAUCAGCAUGCCGCGGUGAUACGUUCCCGGGCCUUGUACACACCGCCCGUCACACCACGAAAGUUGAUGGUACCCGAAGUCGCCGGGCGAACCGGCAACGGGCGCAGGCGCCGAAGGUACGAUGAGCGAUUGGGGUGAAGUCGU
rnacentral:rRNA from 1 species